rnacentral:rRNA from 1 species
GACGAACGCUGGCGGCGUGCUUAACACAUGCAAGUCGAACGGAAAGGCCCUGCUUGCAGGGUACUCGAGUGGCGAACGGGUGAGUAACACGUGGGUGAUCUGCCCUGCACUUCGGGAUAAGCCUGGGAAACUGGGUCUAAUACCGGAUAGGAGCCAUUUUUAGUGUGGUGGUUGGAAAGUUUUUUCGGUGUAGGAUGAGCUCGCGGCCUAUCAGCUUGUUGGUGGGGUGAUGGCCUACCAAGGCGGCGACGGGUAGCCGGCCUGAGAGGGUGGACCGCGACAUUGGGACUGAGAUACGGCCCAGGCACCUAAGGGAGGGAGCAGGGGGGAAUAUUGAACAAGGGGCGCCAGCCUGAUGCAGCGAGGCCGCGGGGGGGAUGACGGCCUUCGGGUUGUAAACUCCUUUCGCUAGGGACGAAGCUUUUUGUGACGGUACCUAGAUAAGAAGCACCGGCUAACUACGUG